rnacentral:rRNA from 1 species
UACAGAGGGGGCGAGCGUUGUUCGGAAUUACUGGGCGUAAAGGGCGCGUAGGCGGCCCGCUAAGUCGAACGUGAAAUCCCCAGGCUCAACCUGGGAACUGCGUCCGAUACUGGCAGGCUUGAAUCCGGGAGAGGGAUGUGGAAUUCCAGGUGUAGCGGUGAAAUGCGUAGAUAUCUGGAGGAACACCGGUGGCGAAGGCGGCAUCCCGGACCGGUAUUGACGCUGAGGCGCGAAAGCUAGGGGAGCAAACGGG